UACGUAGGGUGCGAGCGUUGUCCGGAAUUACUGGGCGUAAAGAGCUCGUAGGUGGUUUGUCGCGUUGUUCGUGAAAACUCACAGCUCAACUGUGGGCGUGCGGGCGAUACGGGCAGACUGGAGUACUGCAGGGGAGACUGGAAUUCCUGGUGUAGCGGUGAAAUGCGCAGAUAUCAGGAGGAACACCGAUGGCGAAGGCAGGUCUCUGGGCCAUAACUGACGCUGAGAAGCGAAAGCAUGGGGAGCGAACAGG
rnacentral:rRNA from 1 species